rnacentral:lncRNA from 1 species
ACAGCCUGUAGGCAGUCACUCAGAAGUUGCCCUGCCAUCAGAAGCUGCUCCACCACCUGGCCUGAGGCAAGAGCACAACAGCACAAGCAGCCACAGCAGCAGCAGCAGCAGCAGCAGCAGCAGCAGCAGCAGCAGCAGCAACAGCAACAGCAACAGCAACAGCAACAGCAACAGCAACAGCAACAGCAACAGCAACAGCAACAGCAACAGCAACAACUGAGAAGGCUAGGCUGACUCCAUGACAGGCUUCAAAUUGGCAGUUCAGGAGAUGAGGCCUAAAUCUCUGGUUCCAAGAACUGGGCAAGCCCAGGCAAGUCCAGGCCUCAAAAGCUGCCCUGCCACCUAGCCUGAGGCAAGGACAAUGGGUCAGCAGC